rnacentral:tRNA from 1 species
GCCUAGGUGGCUCAGUCGGUUGAGUGUCUGACUUCCACUCAGGUCAUGAUCUCAUGGUUUGUGAGUCCGAGCCCCACAUCAGGCU